AAUGAACGCUGGCGGCACGCUUAACACAUGCAAGUCGAACGAGAUCUUCGGAUCUAGUGGCAGACGGGUGAGUAACGCGUGGGAACCUGCCCAGUAGUAGAGAAUAACUUGGGGAAACUUAAGCUAAUACUUUAUACGUCCUUCGGGAGAAAGCUUUAUGCGCUAUUGGAUGGGCCCGCGUUAGAUUAGUUUGUUGGUGAGGUAACGGCUCACCAAGGCGACGAUCUAUAGCUGGUCUGAGAGGAUGAUCAGCCACACUGGGACUGAGACACGGCCCAGACUCCUACGGGAGGCAGCAGUGGGGAAUAUUGGACAAUGGGGGCAACCCUGAUCCAGCGAUGCCGCGUGAGUGAUGAAGGCCCUAGGGUUGUAAAACUCUUUCGUCAGGGAAGAUAAUGACGGUACCUGAAGAAGAAGAUCCGGCUAACUCCGUGCCAGCCGCCGCCGUAACAC
rnacentral:rRNA from 1 species